rnacentral:rRNA from 1 species
UGGGGAAUAUUGGACAAUGGGCGAAAGCCUGAUCCAGCCAUGCCGCGUGUGUGAAGAAGGUCUUCGGAUUGUAAAGCACUUUAAGUUGGGAGGAAGGGCAGUAAGCGAAUACCUUGCUGUUUUGACGUUACCGACAGAAUAAGCACCGGCUAACUCUGUGCCAGCAGCCGCGGUAAUACAGAGGGUGCAAGCGUUAAUCGGAAUUACUGGGCGUAAAGCGCGCGUAGGUGGUUCGUUAAGUUGAAUGUGAAAGCCCCGGGCUCAACCUGGGAACUGCAUCCAAAACUGGCGAGCUAGAGUAGGGCAGAGGGUGGUGGAAUUUCCUGUGUAGCGGUGAAAUGCGUAGAUAUAGGAAGGAACACCAGUGGCGAAGGCGACCACCUGGGCUCAUUCUGACACUGAGGUGCGAAAGCGUGGGGAGCAAACAGG